UUGAUUGAAACCAAAAUAGAGGUAUAUUACUGUUAAUAAUAAAAUUGAAUACUAAAUUCCAAUCAAG
rnacentral:tRNA from 1 species